AUGCUUCUGGACUGCGGCUCUGGGCUCCGUGCCAGGCAGACUCUGGCAUUCAACCCAGCCGAAGCCGGAGCGAGAGAACAGGUGCUGCAUGUCAAUGACAGGAGGGAGGUGGAGACCACCCCUGCUCUGCCGGUCUGUGUGAACGCCGGCCCAACUGAGAGAGCCUGCGGGGGAGAGGGAAGACACGUGUGUUCACACGUGGAGGCGUCUGAGGGCUGGGCGUGGUGGGGAGCUUUCCCGCACAGAGACCAUGGGAGAGGCACACGUGUUUUGGGGCAGAUUCUUUACCACUGUGCCACCUGGGAAGCCCCAUAUGAGGAAAAACACAAUUUGGAAAAGGUGGUCAGGGAAGAACUCUGAUAAAGACACAUUUGAACAGAGCAUUUUGCAAACAGUGAGGCUGGAAAUCCAGGCCUGACUCCACUGGCCACUCAAAUCUCUUGUCUGGACUCGGAUGAACGUGUUCAGGAUCCGCAGACCUGCCUGGGGGAGCCUGAGCUGGAUCCCAACAGUUGUGCGACCUCGUGCUUGACUGGCUCCCAGUAACCCACCUGUUUAAAUGGGACCUAAAGGGCUGUUCGGUGAUUAAAUGAUAUACUGUGUAAGCGUGUGUGGACUUUAAACCUGAGGGCAGUGUGCUCAUUUAAAAGCACCUUCUCCGUGUGAGUCUUGCAGAAACUGUGUGGCUUCCAGUACAGCAUAAGCUUGACCCCCUUCAGGAGGAGGUAGCUUUUGAGUUGAGAAGGCAGCUAACCCGGGGAGGGAGGGGGUUGGAGCCAUGCAGCUGGGGCAGGUGACUGCAGAAGCAGAGUGACUGAGGAGCUGGAAGGACUGAGGGUGCUAGCAAAUGCGAUCUCACCCUUUCUCUCCCAAGCCCAGCUCUCUUUCUCUCGUCAAGGAAGCACAAUGACAGCGGGGUCACCUUGAAUGCAGUAUUCGUGCAUGUAUAAAAAUCAUUAGCAAAUGUGAUCCUUUGUUAUUAGUAACAGAUAAUUUGUGUUAUACCACAUACUGCCUGGACACACUCCUUGAGGACAGGGGCCAGGUUUUAUUUACUAAUUGUAUUAUCACUUUUAAUUUCUGGCACGGUGCAUUGUAAGUUAUCAGGAAAUGUUUAAUAAACGACUAACUAAUAACA
ensembl:lncRNA